GAAUUUUGGGCAAUGGCCGCAAGGCUGACCCAGCGACGCCGCGUGCGGGAGGACGCCUUUCGGGGUGUAAACCGCUGUCAGGGGGGACGAACCCUUCCGGGUCGAACAGGUCCGGGAGCUGACGGUACCCCCAGCGGAACCGCCGGCUAACUCCGUGCCAGCAGCCGCGGUAAGACGGAGGGCGCGAGCGUUGUUCGGAAUCACUGGGCGUAAAGCGCGCGCAGGCUGGACUAGCAAGUCGGAAGUGAAAUCCCGGGGCUCAACUCCGGGGCUGCUUCCGAGACUGCGGACCUGGGGACCGGUAGGGGCCGGUGGAAUUCCCGGUGUAGCGGUGGAAUGCGUAGAGAUCGGGAAGAACACCCGUGGCGAAGGCGGCCGGCUGGGCCGGAUCCGACGCUGAGGCGCGAAAGCGUGGGGAGCAAACAGG
rnacentral:rRNA from 1 species